CGGGGUGUAGCUCAGCUUGGUUUAGAGCACCCGCUUUGGGAGCGGGAAGUCGCACGUUCGAAUCGUGUCACCCCGA
rnacentral:tRNA from 1 species